UGACUGUUGAGUAUCUAUAUCUACAUUGCAUUGAAGGGUUGUGUUCCAGCUAAGUAAGCCAUGGACAAAAGAGUGCUGGUGCUUCUUGUGUGUAUGCAGGCCUUCCUACUCCUCGCUAAGGUGAAUUCAUCUGAUGCUGCCAUUGGGUUGGUGGACAAUCAGCAACGUGAUCAGGGAACAGCUGCCACAGCCAAAACAGAUAAAGUGUCCAAUGACCAGUGGUUUCUGAGACCUGGCAAGGAGUCAACUUUAUGGGGUCCAUUCUAAACAUCAAAGUGAGAAAGGACUUGAAGAGAUGGAAGAAAAAUGUCACCUGCUUUUCCCCUCUGCUGUCUGAAGCUUUCAAUGAUGGUGCUUCCAUGUGAUGGAAAAUUGGAAGUUUUCAAAUAUGUUAUCCUAUAAAAUGUAAUUACAUGUGUGAUGAUGCAGUGCUGAUUAAACA